UAAUAGGGGAAAAGUUUCCUUCAAUGGUCACCGGUUGAAUGAAUUUGUUCCCUAGAAAACGUCAGCUUAUAUAAGCCAAGAAGAUAUGCAUGUUGCUGUGAUGACUGAGAGAAAUACUUGAAUUUGCUGCCCAAUGUCUUGGUGUUGGAAACUGAGGAAAUAUGAUGACGGAAUUCAGUAAAAGAGAGGGAUGGCACUGCUCCGGACCCAGAUGUAGAUGCUUACACAAAGGCAUCUUCAGCAUACUUAUCUUGUUUAUAUCAGAUGUAUUGUUGCAUAUGAAGUUGCUACGUGUAUGAAAUAUUCAUGACAUGGGCAUGCCUUACUAUGUCAUUGGGUAAAGUCCUGAGGUCAAGAGCCUCCAUGCCAGUGUGGUUGAAGUGGGGUUUUUGGGUUUUCCCUCUUUCAAAUAGGGAGAUAGGCCUUUCAGUAAAUGAAUUUCUUGCUCCUCGGUGGCAAAAGAUGGUUGUUUUACCAAUGGUAGUGUUUGUGCUGCCCAAAAGCACUACCAUUGGGUACUUGGAAGCCAUGGAUUAUUAAACUUUGAUGAAUCUUAUUUCUUGCUAGCACUGGGCCUUGUUUGGCUUGGCUUUACUUUUCAACAUUGGCUUUAUCUUGACCUUAGGUUUGUUGAAGCGUAAGUUCAUCCUGUUAUCAUAUAUUAACUUAAGAAGAAACAAUGCUACUCAAGUUUGUUCACCCAGUAAAAUUCAAAUGCAGCCCCCUGAUCAUCUUGUGCGAUGAUUUUGCAAGAAACGAAGGGCAAGAUACAAGGAAGUCAAGAAUCCAUUGAUGGUAAACUUGUGAAAGAAAAGUCUAGGAGUACUCCCACGAAGGAGAAGAAGAAAUUCCCAACUGCUUUCUGAUAUUCUGUGGGAUUAAGGCCUGGUGCGCUUACAGCAUUGAUGGGUGUUAGUAAAGCUGGAAAAUCCACUCUUCUAUGUUUUGGCCAUACGAUGUUGUGUUGAUAACAUACUUGUUCUUCUUGCUUUAAUCUCUUGUGAAAAAAUCGGUAAGGGCUUGUUAGUACUGAGUGCUCUGUGCUCAUUCUCCUGGAUUUAGAGUGGCCAACAAAUGAAAGCUCUUUUCUUUUAUUCAGUCAAUGAAAACUCUUGAACAUUUUCAUAACAGAAGUAAAAUUGAGUAGUUCAUUAAUGAGA